rnacentral:rRNA from 1 species
GGAGUCCUACGGGGGGCAGCAGUGAGGAAUAUUGGUCAAUGGGCGGGAGCCUGAACCAGCCAAGUCGCGUGAGGGAAGACGGUCCUAUGGAUUGUAAACCUCUUUAGGCGGGGAGCAAUGCCGGGCACGCGUGUCCGGAGGGAGAGUACCCGCAGAAUAAGCAUCGGCUAACUCCGUGCCAGCAGCCGCGGUAAUACGGAGGAUGCGAGCGUUAUCCGGAUUUAUUGGGUUUAAAGGGUGCGCAGGCGGAGGGGCAAGUCAGCGGUCAAAUUGCGGGGCUCAACCCCGUACUGCCGUUGA